rnacentral:sRNA from 1 species
UUCAAGGUAUGAGGUAUCAUCCGGAGC